GUCAAUGGUAGCUCAGGCGGGGCAGCCUUUGGGCUGGCCGGUGUCCAGUAAGGCCGGUACUGCAAACUCCGUUUGGGCUACCACCAAU
rnacentral:antisense_RNA from 1 species